AGGCUUCCCUGAGCUCUGUGGCACGUGGAGAUCUCAGGGAAAGGGUUACAAGACCACAGAUGCCAAAUGAGCUGUGCAGCUCCAAGCCAGGAGGCCAGUAUCAACCCUCUCCACCCUCUCAUCCUGUGCCAGAAAUAUGAUGUAUGGCAUACUGCAGAAUAUAUCACCAUGUCUCUCCAGAUCCCUGCCAGCAUACUGGGGAUGAUUUCAAGUGAUGCCCCUGUGAAGAGAAAUCGAGAGCUCACACUUGGGCCAGAUGGCCUCUCAAACCUGCAGGUCAGGCUGCAAUCUCACUGGCAGGAGGCUGGAUCAACCUCAGUCACAUCACCUUUCAUCUUGCUGGAGUCACUCUGGUCUGAGGUGGGUAAGGGGCAGGGAGCCCUGGGUUUGGCCAAAUGGUCAACAAGGCCUUUGUGGCUUGCUAAAAAUUUUUAAAUGCCUCUAUGGGUCUUGCAGUGGAUAAAACUGGCAGAAAUUAGCUCCAAAUGUGGCUGGCUCAGAAAAAGGAGUCAGCAGUGCUCAGACUGAGAGAAACCAGUAUCAGCUUUUUGGCCCAGAAG